GCGUUCGUAGUGUAGUGGUCAGCACGCUCGACACGAAUUCGAGAGGUCCAUGGUUCGAUUCCCGGCCAAGGCA
rnacentral:tRNA from 1 species